rnacentral:rRNA from 1 species
GAUGAACGCUGGCGGCGUGCCUAAUACAUGCAAGUCGAGCGAACAGAUGAGGAGCUUGCUCCUCUGACGUUAGCGGCGGACGGGUGAGUAACACGUGGAUAACCUACCUAUAAGACUGGGAUAACUUCGGGAAACCGGAGCUAAUACCGGAUAAUAUAUUGAACCGCAUGGUUCAAUAGUGAAAGACGGUUUUGCUGUCACUUAUAGAUGGAUCCGCGCCGCAUUAGCUAGUUGGUAAGGUAACGGCUUACCAAGGCAACGAUGCGUAGCCGACCUGAGAGGGUGAUCGGCCACACUGGAACUGAGACACGGUCCAGACUCCUACGGGAGGCAGCAGUAGGGAAUCUUCCGCAAUGGGCGAAAGCCUGACGGAGCAACGCCGCGUGAGUGAUGAAGGUCUUCGGAUCGUAAAACUCUGUUAUUAGGGAAGAACAAAUGUGUAAGUAACUGUGCACAUCUUGACGGUACCUAAUCAGAAAGCCACGGCUAACUACGUG